GACGAACGCUGGCGGCGUGCUUAACACAUGCAAGUCGAACGGAAAGGCCUCUUUCGGGGGGUACUCGAGUGGCGAACGGGUGAGUAACACGUGAGUAACCUGCCCUUGACUUUGGGAUAACUUCAGGAAACUGGGGCUAAUACCGGAUAGGAGCUCCUGCUGCAUGGUGGGGGUUGGAAAGUUUCGGCGGUUGGGGAUGGACUCGCGGCUUAUCAGCUUGUUGGUGGGGUAGUGGCUUACCAAGGCUUUGACGGGUAGCCGGCCUGAGAGGGUGACCGGCCACAUUGGGACUGAGAUACGGCCCAGACUCCUACGGGAGGCAGCAGUGGGGAAUAUUGCACAAGGGGUGGAAGCCUGAUGCAGCAACGCCGUGUGCGGGAUGACGGCCUUCGGGUUGUAAACCGUUUUCGCUCACGACGAAGCUUUGUGUGACGGUAGUGGGUAAAGAAGCACCGGCUAACUACGUG
rnacentral:rRNA from 1 species